rnacentral:rRNA from 1 species
AGAGUUUGAUCAUGGCUCAGAUUGAACGCUGGCGGCAGGCUUAACACAUGCAAGUCGAGCGGGGGAAGGUAGCUUGCUACUGGACCUAGCGGCGGACGGGUGAGUAAUGCUUAGGAAUCUGCCUAUUAGUGGGGGACAACAUCUCGAAAGGGAUGCUAAUACCGCAUACGUCCUACGGGAGAAAGCAGGGGAUCUUCGGACCUUGCGCUAAUAGAUGAGCCUAAGUCGGAUUAGCUAGUUGGUGGGGUAAAGGCCUACCAAGGCGACGAUCUGUAGCGGGUCUGAGAGGAUGAUCCGCCACACUGGGACUGAGACACGGCCCAGACUCCUACGGGAGGCAGCAGUGGGGAAUAUUGGACAAUGGGGGGAACCCUGAUCCAGCCAUGCCGCGUGUGUGAAGAAGGCCUUAUGGUUGUAAAGCACUUUAAGCGAGGAGGAGGCUACUUUAGUUAAUACCUAGAGAUAGUGGACGUUACUCGCAGAAUAAGCACCGGCUAACUCUGUGCCAGCAGCCGCGGUAAUACAGAGGGUGCGAGCGUUAAUCGGAUUUACUGGGCGUAAAGCGUGCGUAGGCGGCUUAUUAAGUCGGAUGUGAAAUCCCCGAGCUUAACUUGGGAAUUGCAUUCGAUACUGGUGAGCUAGAGUAUGGGAGAGGAUGGUAGAAUUCCAGGUGUAGCGGUGAAAUGCGUAGAGAUCUGGAGGAAUACCGAUGGCGAAGGCAGCCAUCUGGCCUAAUACUGACGCUGAGGUACGAAAGCAUGGGGAGCAAACAGGAUUAGAUACCCUGGUAGUCCAUGCCGUAGACGAUGUCUACUAGCCGUUGGGGCCUUUGAGGCUUUAGUGGCGCAGCUAACGCGAUAAGUAGACCGCCUGGGGAGUACGGUCGCAAGACUAAAACUCAAAUGAAUUGACGGGGGCCCGCACAAGCGGUGGAGCAUGUGGUUUAAUUCGAUGCAACGCGAAGAACCUUACCUGGCCUUGACAUACUAGAAACUUUCCAGAGAUGGAUUGGUGCCUUCGGGAAUCUAGAUACAGGUGCUGCAUGGCUGUCGUCAGCUCGUGUUGUGAGAUGUUGGGUUAAGUCCCGCAACGAGCGCAACCCUUUUCCUUACUUGCCAGCAUUUCGGAUGGGAACUUUAAGGAUACUGCCAGUGACAAACUGGAGGAAGGCGGGGACGACGUCAAGUCAUCAUGGCCCUUACGGCCAGGGCUACACACGUGCUACAAUGGUCGGUACAAAGGGUUGCUACACAGCGAUGUGAUGCUAAUCUCAAAAAGCCGAUCGUAGUCCGGAUUGGAGUCUGCAACUCGACUCCAUGAAGUCGGAAUCGCUAGUAAUCGCGGAUCAGAAUGCCGCGGUGAAUACGUUCCCGGGCCUUGUACACACCGCCCGUCACACCAUGGGAGUUUGUUGCACCAGAAGUAGCUAGCCUAACUGCAAAGAGGGCGGUUACCACGGUGUGGCCGAUGACUGGGGUGAAGUCGUAACAAGGUAGCCGUAGGGGAACCUGCGGCUGGAUCACCU